AUAGAAGUAGGAGACAGAGUUAUCACCAAAGAAAAACCAAAGGAUCCAAUUCCAGAAAUCAAGUAGGGUGUAUAGAUGUCGCGGUUGAUCAAUCGUCGUCGGAGUGUGACCAAUGAGCCUCCUGCAUUAUCAACAUCUACUGCUCCAGGCGUGAGUGCUCCAUUGAUUGGGGAGCCUACACCCCUUACUGAGGCUACUCCUAUGGCGUCCCAGGUGCCCGUCUCAUCGACAUCAUCAUUGUCAGUUCAGCCGCUUAGUGCACGACGGCCUCACUGACGCCGCCGCGAGCCGGAGCCUUCUGAUCACACUUCCUCGGCAUCCAGAGUCGAGGGUGAGGCCUCCCAGCCAGCUAAAAAAAACACCAGGGGGCCUAGUCGAAUGUUGAAGGAGGCACAGAGCGUACGUUUGACCGGCUCCAGGAUCAAGAUUGAGUAUGACCCGCGACAUCGUGGAGCGGCUACCUCACAGCAGCAUAACAGCGUCGCUAGUAGUUGUGGUGUUGUUAUUAAACAAAAUUGUCCUAUGCAGUGGGAGUCUUGGGCAGAAAUUCCCGAGGAGACGAAGAAACUAGUGCGAGAAAACUUGUCGGUCAAUUUUGAUCUUGACGACAUAUCCCCUGAGGUCAUGGCCUACUUAGAUGAUACCUUAGCAAAUCGGUACAAACAUUGGAAGAACUAUCUUCACACGCAUUUUAAGCGAUGGGAUGAUCCGGAGUUUGCUCGCCUACAUGGUUGCCCAACCGAGCUGCAGGACCGGCCGAAGGAUUGGGAGUGGCUCUGCAAACAUUUUACGGACCCAAAA